GUUCCGUAGGUGAACCUGCGGAAGGAUCAUUAUUGUAUAACCGAGGUGCGAGGGCUGUCGCUGACCCGAAAGGUCGUGCACGCCCGAGUGCCCUCACACACAUCCAUCUCACCCUAUGUGCACCACCGCGUGGGUCCCCCUUUGGCUUGUUCGGAGGGGGGCUUACGUUUUCACACAAACUUUGUAUGCAGUGUAGAAUGUAUUUUUUGUUUUUGCGAUCACGCAAUCAAUACAACUUUCAACAACGGAUCUCUUGGCUCUC
rnacentral:misc_RNA from 1 species